rnacentral:rRNA from 1 species
AACGAACGCUGGCGGCAUGCCUAACACAUGCAAGUCGAACGAGACCAUCGGGUCUAGUCGCGCACGGGUGCGUAACGCGUGGGAAUCUGCCCUUGGGUUCGGAAUAACAGUGAGAAAUUACUGCUAAUACCGGAUGAUGUCUUCGGACCAAAGAUUUAUCGCCCAGGGAUGAGCCCGCGUAGGAUUAGCUAGUUGGUGGGGUAAUCGCCUACCAGGGCGACGAUCCUUAGCUGGUCUGAGAGGAUGAUCAGCCACACUGGGACUGAGACACGGCCCAGACUCCUACGGGAGGCAGCAGUGGGGAAUAUUGGAAAACGGGCGCAGGCCUGAUCCAGCAAUGCCGCGUGAGUGAUGAAGGCCUUAGGGUUGUAAAGCUCUUUUACCCGGGAUGAUAAUGACGGUACCGGGAGAAUAAGCUCCGGCUAACUCCGUG